rnacentral:rRNA from 1 species
GUCCACGCUGUAAACGAUGAGUGCUGGAUGUCGUGGGUAUUGACCCCCGCGGCGUCGUAGCUAACGCGUUAAGCACUCCGCCUGGGGAGUACGGCCGCAAGGCUAAAACUCAAAGGAAUUGACGGGGGCCCGCACAAGCGGUGGAGCAUGUGGUUCAAUUCGACGCAACGCGCAGAACCUUACCUGGGUUAAAUCCACCAGAAUCCUGCAGAGAUGUGGGAGUGCCUUUUCGGGGAAUUGGUGAGAAGGUGCUGCAUGGCUGUCGU